rnacentral:rRNA from 1 species
AUUGAACGCUGCCGGCAGGCCUACCACAUGCAAGUCGAACGAGUGGCGGACGGGUGAGUAAUGUCUGGGAAACUGCCUUAUGGAGGGGGAUAACUACUGGACACGGUAGCUAAUACCGCAUACCAUCAGAUGUGCCCAGAUGGGAUUAGCUAGUAGGUGGGGUAAUGGCUCACCUAGGCGACGAUCCCUAGCUGGUCUGAGAGGAUGAGCAGCAACACUGGGACUGAGACACGGUCCAGAAGCCUACGGAAGGCAGCAGUGGGGAAUAUUGCACAAUGGGCGCAAGCCGGAAACAGCCAUGCGGAGUGUAUGAAGAAGGCCGUGGGGUUGUAAAGUACUUUCAGGGGGGAGGCGUUACCCGCAGAAGAAGCACCGGCUAACUCCAUGCCAGCAGCCGCGGUAAUUC